GUUCAAAACAGACCGUCUCUGGUUAAAUUAGUUCUACACCAAGCCUUUAGGUGGCAGUACAACUAAUUCGCACAAUGCGAAUUCCACACACAAGCCACAAAGAAGCCAUCUACCGCGGUCAACAACACCGACCUAUCUGAACAGAAUCACGCGCUGUCUGUGUGGUUUCACUGUUACAAGUUUCUUGGCGACAUGGGGGAAAGUUCCUCACAUACCAACGGAAAAUGGGCUUCACAUACAUGCUGCUGUCUCAUAAUAUGGCGAAGACGAGUCACUUGAAGGCCUAACAGCUCUUAUGAGGAGCAGUCUUGCCAUAGAAGACUGAAAGAAUGUAAGAUUAACUUCUUUGUGACCAAUAUGACUUGCUCAUUGAUACAUUAGCUAUGUCAAUAUGAGAUGCAUGGCGAAGUAUUUAAUUUAUUUGUCUCUCUUCUAGGAGCUGUAGAAACAACAGGGUGCCUGCUGCAGUAUGACGAGGACGCCCUGAUCAUAGAAGGUCCAGUGUCUUGGCAGGGUGAAAUGGCACUGAUAUCGUGUCCUGCAGGAUGCUGUGUCCUGCAAUCCUGUGUGCUGUGCUACAGACGCGUGUGGAGGUCAACCCGAAAUGGGCACAGUAGAGUGAAAGAGGAUCCUGGCAGGGAGACGGUAGUGUCCUGCAGGAUGGUGAUGGGCAAUCUUACAAGAGACCACAGAAAACUGAUAUAGUCUCCCAGAAGUGAGACUGAGUGCCUGUUGCAGUAUGACGAGGAAGCAGUGACCAGAGACCUUCAGUAGACCCUGCUGGCAUGAUUGGCGGCUGAAGAACAUAAUCAACAGCAAUGUUUAUAAUAUUGUACAUACCUGUAUAGUCUGCACUAAAAUGCUGUACCUGUACUAUUUUUCCUCUUACUUUCAUAUUUACCACGUAUUUACUAUGAAUUGACAACUUUUACUCAAAUCCAUUUUUGUAUGUGCCCUGACUAAAACUAUCCUUAAACCUAACCUGUCAGAGGUGUAAUAACAACCUGCUCUUAGCAAUGUGGCAGCAGUCUACUUGGAUGCAGCGGGGAACAUAGAACCCUUU